GACAGAGGGUGCAAACGUUGCUCGGAAUCACUGGGCGUAAAGGGCGUGUAGGCGGGAAGGAAAGUCAGAUGUGAAAUCCCUGGGCUCAACCCAGGAACUGCAUUUGAAACUCCCUUUCUUGAGUGUCGGAGAGGAAAGCGGAAUUCCUGGUGUAGAGGUGAAAAUUCGUAGAUAUCAGGAGGAACACCGGUGGCGAAGGCGGCUUUCUGGACGAUCGACUGACGU
rnacentral:rRNA from 1 species